rnacentral:rRNA from 1 species
UACGGGGGGGGGCAAGCGUUGUUCGGAAUUACUGGGCGUAAAGGGCUCGUAGGCGGCCAACUAAGUCGGACGUGAAAUCCCUCGGCUUAACCGGGGAACUGCGUCCGAUACUGGAUGGCUUGAGUUUGGGAGAGGGAUGCGGAAUUCCAGGUGUAGCGGUGAAAUGCGUAGAUAUCUGGAGGAACACCGGUGGCGAAGGCGGCAUCCUGGACCAAUACUGACGCUGAGGAGCGAAAAGCCAGGGGAGCAAACGGG